GAUGAACGCUGGCGGCGUGCCUAACACAUGCAAGUCGAGCGAACAGACAAGGAGCGUGCUCCCCUGACGGUAGCGGCGGACGGGCGAGUAAGACGUACAUAACCUUCCUAUUAGACUGGGAUAACUACGGGAAACCGGUGACAAUACCGGAUCAUAUAUCCUACCGCAUGGUUCAAUAGUUAUAGACGGCUUUGCCGUCUCUUUUAGAUGGAUCCGCGCCGGAUUAGUUAGUUGGUAAGGUAACGGCCUACCAAGGCGACGAUGCGUAGCCGACCUGAGAGGAUGAUCAGCCACACUGGAACUGAGACACGGUCCAGACUCCUACGGGAGGCAGCAGUAGGGAAUCUUCGACAAUGGGCGAAAGCCUGACGCAGCCACGCCGCGUGGGUGAAGAAGGUCUUCGGGUCGUAAAACUCUGUUGUUGGGGAAGAAAAAAAGUAGAUGAAUCUCUGGCCGUCUUGACGGUACCUAAACAAUAAGCACCGGCUAACUUCGUG
rnacentral:rRNA from 1 species